AUAGAGUCACUUUGCAUCAGCAGCUCCAUGCUCCAGCGCUCUGGGAGAGUUUAUAGUCCUGACAGUUGAACACUGGAUGACUGACAGCUGUCCUUCAUCACAACAGGAGACACAGAAAUCCUCUUCAUCAAAAACAUGACUUUGAUCUGCAUCCUCAUCUGGACUCUCCUCUGCUGCUGCUUCACAGAGGUCAGAGGUCAGGUCACAGUGACUCAGUCUUCAGCAGUGAGAGCUAAUCUGGGAGGAUCUGCCACCAUCACCUGUAGAACCAGUCAGAAUGUUUAUGUUUAUUUCGGCUCCCACUGUUUAGCCUGGUACCAACAGAAAGAUGGACAAACUCCUAAGCUCCUCAUUUAUUAUGCCAGCACUAAAGCAUCAGGGACUCCAAGUCGUUUUACAGGCAGUGGAUCAAACUCUGACUUCACUCUGACCAUCAGUGGAGUUCAGGCUGAAGAUGCUGCAGUUUAUUACUGUCAGAGUGCUCACUACAUCAGCAGCCAGUAUGUGUUCACACAGUGAAAAACAGUCAUACAA